rnacentral:rRNA from 1 species
UACAGAGGUCUCAAGCGUUGUUCGGAUUCAUUGGGCGUAAAGGGUGCGUAGGUGGCGUGGUAAGUCGGGUGUGAAAUUUCGGAGCUUAACUCCGAAACUGCAUUCGAUACUGCCGGGCUAGAGUCCGGAAGAGGCGAGUGGAACUCCUGGUGUAGCGGUGGAAUGCGCAGAUAUCAGGAAGAACACCAACGGCGAAGGCAGCUCGCUGGGACGGAACUGACGCUAAGGCGCGAAAGCGUGGGGAGCGAACAGG